rnacentral:rRNA from 2 species
AGCGGAUCUUCAUUAGCUUGCUUUUGAAGAUCAGCGGCGGACGGGUGAGUAACACGUGGGCAACCUGCCUGUAAGACUGGGAUAACUUCGGGAAACCGGAGCUAAUACCGGAUAAUCCUUUCCCUCACAUGAGGGAAAGCUGAAAGACGGUUUCGGCUGUCACUUACAGAUGGGCCCGCGGCGCAUUAGCUAGUUGGUGAGGUAACGGCUCACCAAGGCAACGAUGCGUAGCCGACCUGAGAGGGUGAUCGGCCACACUGGGACUGAGACACGGCCCAGACUCCUACGGGAGGCAGCAGUAGGGAAUCUUCCGCAAUGGACGAAAGUCUGACGGAGCAACGCCGCGUGAACGAUGAAGGCUUUCGGGUCGUAAAGUUCUGUUGUCAGGGAAGAACAAGUACCGGAGUAACUGCCGGUACCUUGACGGUACCUGACCAGAAAGCCACGGCUAACUACGUGCCAGCAGCCGCGGUAAUACGUAGGUGGCAAGCGUUGUCCGGAAUUAUUGGGCGUAAAGCGCGCGCAGGCGGUUCCUUAAGUCUGAUGUGAAAGCCCCCGGCUCAACCGGGGAGGGUCAUUGGAAACUGGGGAACUUGAGUGCAGAAGAGGAGAGCGGAAUUCCACGUGUAGCGGUGAAAUGCGUAGAGAUGUGGAGGAACACCAGUGGCGAAGGCGGCUCUCUGGUCUGUAACUGACGCUG